rnacentral:rRNA from 1 species
UACAGGGGGGGCAAGCGUUGUUCGGAAUUACUGGGCGUAAAGGGUUCGUAGGUGGCCAACUAAGUCAGACGUGAAAUCCCUCAGCUUAACUGGGGAACUGCGUCUGAUACUGGAUGGCUUGAGUGUAGGAGAGGAAUGCGGAAUUCCAGGUGUAGCGGUGAAAUGCGUAGAUAUCUGGAGGAACACCGGUGGCGAAGGCGGCAUUCUGGACUACAACUGACGCUGAGGCACGAAAGCUAGGGGAGCAAACAGG